rnacentral:pre_miRNA from 1 species
AAAAAAAAAAAUUGUAUGGAGGUGGAACGUUUGCCUACGUUUUCCGCCAGGGGCGCUGUUCUAACUGCAUACAAAUUCGAGUUC